rnacentral:tRNA from 1 species
GCGGCUGUGGUCUAGUCUGGUCUAGGACUUCAAGUCCCUCAAGCUGACUACCCGGGCUCAAAUCCCGGCAGCCGCACCA